CCUACGGGGUGCUGCAGUGGGGAAUAUUGGACAAUGGGGGGAACCCUGAUCCAGCGACGCCGCGUGAGUGAAGAAGUAUUUCGGUAUGUAAAGCUCUAUCAGCAGGGAAGAAAGAAAUGACGGUACCUGACUAAGAAGCCCCGGCUAACUACGUGCCAGCAGCCGCGGUAAUACGUAGGGGGCAAGCGUUAUCCGGAUUUACUGGGUGUAAAGGGAGCGUAGACGGCAGUGCAAGUCUGGAGUGAAAGGCGGGGGCUCAACCCCCGGACUGCUCUGGAAACUGUACGGCUGGAGUGCAGGGGAGGUAAGUGGAAUUCCUAGUGUAGCGGUGAAAUGCGUAGAUAUUAGGAGGAACACCAGUGGCGAAGGCGGCUUACUGGACUGUAACUGACGUUGAGGCUCGAAAGCGUGGGGAGCAAACAGGAUUAGAUACCCCAGUAGUC
rnacentral:rRNA from 1 species